ACACGUAGGGGGCAAGCGUUGUCCGGAUUUAUUGGGCGUAAAGAGCUCGUAGGCGGUUUGGUAAGUCGGGUGUGAAAACUCAGGGCUCAACCCUGAGACGCCACUCGAUACUGCCUGACUAGAGUCCGGUAGGGGAGCAUGGAAUUCCUGGUGUAGCGGUGAAAUGCUUAGAUAUCAGGAGGAACACCAGUGGCGAAGGCGGUGCUCUGGGCCGGAACUGACGCUGAGGAGCGAAAGCGUGGGUAGC
rnacentral:rRNA from 1 species